CAGCGCUGGUUGCCAUGGCAGAAGAGCUGAUUCAAGACCAGUUGUCGCAGACCAGGAGAGUUGGUGAAAUGGUUUCCAUCAGCUGUGGAGGAACUGACGGGUGUGAUAAAAAACAUGUCUACUGGUACCAGAAGACAAAAACAGGCCCAUUCACAGUGAUUCUACGUAUCGAUCUGACAGAUGGGAAAUUUAAUUCCCGCUACAAUCAUCCUCAGCAAAAAGAUUUCUCUGCGUUGAGAAAAGAGUACGGCUGCGACUUGAUGAUCUCGAGUAUUACACUCCUCCAUUCAGCCACCUACUACUGCAUCUGUUGGAAAAGUGUUGCCCACAGUGAGAAAUGAUCCGUGCAGCCUGAACAAAAACCAGCAGAUGUCAAACAGUGUUUGUGACAGGAAGAGAGCAGUAAACCACAGCCCAGGUUCACAUAUUUCACCUCCAUCUCAGCCAGAGUUGCAAACAUACUGAGCUGAGGGAUUUACUUCUAUUGCUUUUACAGGGGCUGAUGGGAGGUCUGAGGACCCGUUAGAAACCACGCGGCCCUCGUCUGAUCUCACAGCUCGUCCUUGUUUGGCCUCAGCUGCAUCAGAGCGCCACUUCUCCCCAGGUUCACCAGAGGAAACACCACUGCACACAAUGCUUUUCCUCCCAGCUGCUGCUCUGUGCUGUCUGUGUUCAGCGCUGGUUGCCAUGGCAGCAGAGCUGAUUCAGGAGGAUUUAACAUGGACCAGGAGAGUCGAUGAAACUGUUUCCUUCAGCUGUCGAGGAACUGACCAGUGUGACAGAGAUAAUGUGUACUGGUACCAGAUGAAAGACACAGAAACAUUCACAAGGAUUCUGUUUAUUUAUAGGAGAAAAGGUCGAUUUUAUCCAGAUGACAAUCAUCCUCAGAAAGAUGAUUUCUCAGCUUUGAGAAAACAGAACGUCUGUGAGUUGGUGAUCACAAAAAUAAAACUCCUCCAUUUAGCCACCUACUACUGCUCCUGUUGGAAGGAGGUCUCCACAGUGAGAAAUGAUCCCUGCAGCCUGAACAAAAACCAGCAGAUGUCAAAUAGUGUUUGUGACAGGAAGAGAGCAGUAAACCACAGCCCAGGUUCACAUAUUUCACCUCCAAAAGCUAUCCAGCAUAUUUCAUGUCUAUAUAUAAUAUAUAUAUAAUUCAGUUAUAAUUCACCUGUAAUACAUUUCGAUUGGUCUUAUUUAAAUUAUAAUUAUAUUAGUUAUAACAUUACUUGGACAUAAUUCAUGAUUAAACAAUCACAUUUUUCAAUUUGAUGGUAAACACAAACAAUCAUCUCUAUAAUCUCUAUUUAAACUACAAAUGAAGAUUAGAGAAACACAACAUUGAGUUUCCUGGUUCAUAAUUUGGUCUCAACUGAUUCAUUCAGCAGCAGACAGGUUUUUGUAUUAGUGUAUUUCACUGUGGGAGGAUCCAGUGGAUCCAACAGAUACCUGAUCUUUGGCUCUGGAACUGAACUCUACGUAACAGGUAAGAUUAAACAUCCAUUUUCCUUCUGUUGUUUUAUUGUAGAGGCUUUUAAGUUUUCUCAGUCUUCUUAAAACCUUAAAGUAAUGAGAGGCACUCAGCAGUGAUGUUGUAACUCUGCUCUGUGUUCCCAUCAGCUGCUGUUUAGUCAAACCUCACACUGGGUUUCUUGUCUCUCCGCUGGAAGAAAUUAAAAUUCUAGAUGAAUGAUUGUGGUGGAUUUUCUUGCUCUGUUUAUCAGAUGAAAGUAAAUUUAAGAGACGAGCAGGUAUCCUCAAGUUCACUCAGGUUCAGUUGUCCAGAGUUGAUUUUAAUAUUCAAAUUCAAAUGCAGUUAACAAACAUUAGUAUAAUAUCAUUGAAAAUAUGUUUAAUGUUUCUGAAAUGUUAUUUAUUUUUACAGUAAGCCUAUAGUAAAUAUUGUACAGUGAUGAAUACAUUUGCAUUGUAAUGUUGUUGAAUAUUGUUAAUUUGUAUGAUUCAAAAUAUAUUUUGUAUUGCAGAA